rnacentral:lncRNA from 1 species
CCUCCGUGUCCGCUGCCCAGCAGUGCAAACCCCGUAAAGUAAACUUCCCCCCAACCCGAUGACAGGUGGAGCCCUCGAGAAAGCUGCGUGGGCACAGAAGCAGCCGCCCACAUGCAGCCCCAGGCUCCGACACCUGCGCUGGUGGGAAAAGAGCUGCAGCCAGAACAGCGACAGAAAGCCCGACGCCAAGUCACAGAGAAGGUGACGGCCCUGGACACGCACCUGACACGAUGGGCUCCGGGACUUCGGGCAAGGAGAGCAGGCAGGUCCUCCCUGGUGGCAGGCGGCACUGCUGCAACCCAUGCUUCCGCUAACAUCUACGUCAGGGUUAUUCUGAGAUGUGUGAUGAGACCCGCUGCUCACAGACAAACUGCUGCAGGUAAGCCAAGGGUGCAGGAAAACUCAAUUCUCCUCCCCAAAUUAUACAAAGGCCACAUGAAAGAAAAGCUGG